GACGAACGCUGGCGGCGUGCUUAACACAUGCAAGUCGAGCGGUAAGGCCCCUUCGGGGGUACGACGAGCGGCGAACGGGUGAGUAACACGUGGGUGACCUGCCCUCAGCUCUGGGAUAAGCCUGGGAAACUGGGUCUAAUACCGGAUAUGACUCCAUGAUGCAUGUUGUGGGGUGGAAAGCCUUGUGCGGCUGAGGAUGGGCCCGCGGCCUAUCAGCUUGUUGGUGGGGUGAUGGCCUACCAAGGCGACGACGGGUAGCCGGCCUGAGAGGGCGACCGGCCACACUGGGACUGAGACACGGCCCAGACUCCUACGGGAGGCAGCAGUGGGGGAAUCUUGCGCAAUGGGCGAAAGCCUGACGCAGCGACGCCGCGUGAGGGAUGACGGCCC
rnacentral:rRNA from 1 species